rnacentral:rRNA from 1 species
GAUGAACGCUAGCUACAGGCUUAACACAUGCAAGUCGAGGGGAAACGACAUCGAAAGCUUGCUUUUGAUGGGCGUCGACCGGCGCACGGGUGAGUAACGCGUAUCCAACCUGCCCAUCACUUGGGAAUAACCUUGCGAAAGUAAGACUAAUACCCAAUGAUAUCCCACGAAGGCAUCGGAAUGGGAUUAAAGAUUUAUCGGUGAUGGAUGGGGAUGCGUCUGAUUAGCUUGUUGGCGGGGUAACGGCCCACCAAGGCAACGAUCAGUAGGGGUUCUGAGAGGAAGGUCCCCCACAUUGGAACUGAGACACGGUCCAAACUCCUACGGGAGGCAGCAGUGAGGAAUAUUGGUCAAUGGGCGAGAGCCUGAACCAGCCAAGUAGCGUGCAGGAAGACGGCCAUAUGGGUUGUAAACUGCUUUUAUAAGGGAAUAAAGUGGGUCACGUGUGACUUUUUGCAUGUACCUUAUGAAUAAGGACCGGCUAAUUCCGUG